rnacentral:rRNA from 1 species
AUGAACGCUGGCGGCGUGCCUAACACAUGCAAGUCGAACGAAACAAUUAAGAUGAAUUUUUCUGAUGGAAUCUUGAUUGACUGAGUGGGAGACGGGUGAGUAACGCCUGGAUAACCUGCCUCAAACUGCGGGAUAACAAUUAAUAAAUGACUGCUAAUACCGCCUAUCCGCACAGUGCCGCAUGGCAAUGAGUGCAAAACUCCGGUGGUGUGAGAUGGAUCCGCGUCUGAUUAGCCAGAUGGCGCCCUAACGGCCCACCAGAACGACGAUCCUUAGACGACCUGACACGGUGACCGGACACAUUGGCACUGAGACACCCUCCAAACUCCUACGGGAGGCAACAUUGGGCAAUAUUGCACAAUGUGAGAAAGCCUGAUGCAGCGACGCCUCACGGCUGAAUAAGUAUUUCGCUAUGUUAAGCUCUAUCAACAGGGAAGAAAAUGACCGGACCUGACUAAAAAACCCCAGCUAACUACGUGCCACCUCCCGCGGGUAAUACGUAGGGGGCAAGCGGUAAUCUGGAUUUACUGCGUGUAAAGGGAGCGUAGACGGAGAAUCAAGGCUCAGGUGAAAACCCAGUGCUCAACCCUGGGACUGCUCCGAAAACUGUUCUGUUAGAGUGUCGGAGAGGUAAGCAGAAUUCCUAGUGUGGCGGUGAAAUGCGUAGAUGUUAGGAGGAACAUCAGUGACGAAGGCGGCUUACGAGACGAUAACUGAUGUUGAGGCUCGAAAGCGUGGGGAGCAAACAGGAUGUAGAUACCAUGGUAGUGCACGCCGUAAACGAUGAACGGUAGGUGAUGGGGGGCAAAGGCCUUCGGUGCCGCCGCAAACGCAGUAAGCAUUCCACAUGGGGAGUACGUUCGCAAGAAUGAAACUCAAAGGAAUUGACGGGGAACCGCACAAGCGGUGGACCAUGUGGUGUAAUUGGAAGCAACGUGAAGAACCUUAGCAAGUCUUGACAUCCGCCUGACGGGCCGGUAACGCGGCCUUUCAUUCGGGACAGGGGAGACAGGUGGUGCAUGGUUGUGGUCAGUUCGUGUCGUGAGAUGUUGGGAUAAGUCGCGCAACGAGCGCAACCGAUUAUCAUUAGUAGUCAGCACGUGAAGGCUGGGCACUCUAGGGAGAUUGCCAGGGAUAACCGGGAGGAAGGUGGGGAAGACGUCAAAUCAUCAUGCUCAUUAUGAUCUGGGCUUCACACGUGUUACAAUGGCGUACAACAAAGGGAAGAGAGGCAGUGAUGUGGAGCAAAUGCCAAAAAUAACGUAACAGUUUGGAAUGUAGUAUGCAAGUCGGCUACACGAAGUUGGAAUCGCUAGUAAUCGAGAAUCAGAACGUCACGGUGAAUACGUUGCCGGGUUUUGUACACACCGCCCGUCACACCAUGGGAGUCAGCAAAGCCGGAAGUCAGUGACCCAACCGAAAGGAGGGAGCUUCCGAAGGCGGGG